rnacentral:tmRNA from 1 species
GGGGGCGAUCGGCUUCGACGGGUUGGUAGAAGGCAUCGCCGCGUGCCCAGGUCCGGGGUCCUGGAUAAUCCCUCUGGAAAAAACACAAUUGCCAACACUGAUCUGGCGAUGGCUGCGUAAGCUGAGCUUUAAGUAGUUCGCUUCGCACCUCCGAGAUGAAAGCCCGUCCGGGGCGUUCUGAUCGGAAUCAUUAAUCCGGAAUAGCGACUGGUGGUCCUCCGACACCGGAAGCGAGACUUCAGGAGGUCACCGUUGGGAAGGUCGGCUCGGCACCGGCCCAACGCCAAGUUCGAAGCGGAGCCUACGCACGUAGACGCGGUCCCGGAAAUUGAUUCGGACCAGGGUUCGAUUCCCUGCGCCUCCAUUU